rnacentral:tRNA from 1 species
UGGCUCAGUGGUAGAGCAUCUCCUUGCCAAGGAGAGGGUCGCGGGUUCGAAUCCC